rnacentral:rRNA from 1 species
UACGUAGGUGGCAAGCGUUGUCCGGAUUUACUGGGCGUAAAGAGCGCGCAGGCGGUCUUGUAAGUCGAAUGUGAAAGCCCCUGGCUCAACCAGGGAGGGUCAUUCGAUACUGCUUGACUCGAAGGCAGGAGAGGGAAGUGGAAUUCCGGGUGUAGUGGUGAAAUGCGUAGAUAUCCGGAGGAACACCAGUGGCGAAGGCGACUUUCUGGCCUGUUCUUGACGCUGAGGCGCGAAAGCUAGGGGAGCAAACGGGAUUAGAUACCCUUGUAGU